ACUCACUUCACACGUGUUGCACCGUCACCUCUUCAUAUGUGCGCUCUCUCUCUCUCUCUCUCUCUGAAUUCUGUGCCUUCUGAAGUCUCCGUCCAAGCAGAAGCACCUUAGCUUCAUUUGGUUCACCAUGGCUGGGAAAAAGAGAAGGAAGCUGAAAUCGCUAGCUGAAACAAACACUGAAAGUAAAAGAAUGGCAUUGAAAGGGAAGAGAGAGAAAUCGGAGUUACAGACUUGGUCUGAUCUUCCUACAGAACUUUUGGAAUUGAUUGUAUCCCAACUAACACUAGAGGACAAUGUCCGUGCCUCUGUUGUUUGCAAGAGAUGGCAUUCAGUUGCAAAUUCUGUCCGGGUGGUAAAUCAGUCACCAUGGCUAAUGUACUUCCCAAAAUAUGGUAACUUGUAUGAAUUCUAUGACCCAUCACUACGCAAGACACAUUCCAUCGAGCUGCCUGAGUUGAAUGGGACUAGAGUUUGCUACACUAAAGAUGGUUGGUUGUUGCUAUACAGACCCAGAUCUCAUCGUAUGUUCUUCUUUAAUCCCUUUACUCGUGAAGUGAUUAAACUGCCAAGGUUUGAGUUGACUUAUCAGAUUGUUGCCUUCUCUUGCGCCCCAACGUCUACAAGCUGCAUGCUUUUUACAGUUAAGCACAUCAGUCCCACUAUUGUUGCUGUUAGCACUUGCCAUCUAGGGGCGACAGAGUGGGUUACUGUUAAUUACCAAAAUCGCUUGCCUUUCGUUAGUAGUAUUUGGAAUAAGCUUGUCUUCUGCAAUGGACUGUUUUAUUGUCUCAGUCUCACUGGUUGGCUAGGGGUCUUUGAUCCACUGGAACGUAUUUGGAGUGUUCUUGCUGUGCCUCCACCCAAAUGCCCUGAGAACUUUUUUGCCAAAACGUGGUGGAAGGGCAAGUUUAUGGCCGAGCAUAAGGGAGAAAUAUCAGUUAUUUAUACUUGUUCUAGUGAAAACCCCAUCAUGUUUAAGCUGGAUCGUGUAAACAUGGUAUGGGAAGAGAUGAAAACCCUUGAUGGUGUCAUCCUUUUUGCCAGUUUCUUGUCUUCUCAUUGCAGAACUGACCUUUAUGGAUUGAUGAGAAACAGUGUCUACUUCCCUAAAGUUCGUUUCUAUGGUAAGCGUUGCAUAUCAUACUCUUUUGACCAUCGUAGAUACUAUCCACGUAAGCAGUGUCAUGACUGGGGAGAUCAAGAUCCUUUUGAAAAUAUCUGGAUUGAACCACCCCAAAAUUUCUCAAGCUUCACCUGAAGAAGUCUAGCUGGAAACCUAGCUGCACAAGUAUGUUCUAUAGUUGAGCAUUUAGAGAAUCUUUAUUAUAUAUUUAGUUACAACUGCCUUGGAUGGAAAGCUAUAUUGAUUUGAAUUUCUGUAUAAGCAGUUGCCCACUAGGUGACUAAUAUACUUCUAGAAGAACUCUUAUUGGAGUUCUGUUUUCUUUCAACACAAAUAUUAAUCAGACGUUUGAUUUCACAACCAGUAUUUUCAUAUAAAACUAAGUUUUUCAGGAUAGUAUCAUACUUGAAGCCGUUGUACAUGCUACAUAUGUCAACCUUCAAUGUUUGGCAGUUUGUCUGAUAUCUUUUCCUUUUGCGACCUAUGGCAGUCUCCAAAGUGAGUCUCACAGUAGCAAGUAUACUGCCCCGAAUCUCAUUCUAGGCAUGAUAAGUUUUAUUACCCAUUUUUCAAGGCUUUAUGCAUAAAAAAUUUUACAAGAAUGACUAAAGAUGUCAUUCUGUCCAGGCAAGCCCGUUAAACAAUUAGUUUCUUGCAAAAGAAUCUGCACUAUAAUGUAUGCAGAAAGAGAAGUGCUACAACCACAAGGAAAUUUUAUAAAAGUAAACACAUAGACUAACAUAGUUUUAUAUAUCUACUUUACAAUAAAAGUAGUUUUAUAAUUUAAUGUAUCACAUCAAGUCAAUGUCAGUUUGUAGAUUUAUUUUUGUAGGAUCUCUUUUAGCUAAAACAUUUCUCAUGUUUAGUUAUUGCCAUUGAAUGCUGACCAGAUAAUCAAACCUUUGAAAUUAAUUGAGGAUAUUCUAAAGAAAACAACUCCCCAAAUUGGGACUGGGACUGGGACAGGAGUUUUACAGUCUCGUAUAAAGUAUAUUCCAUUUACUUUCGCAGAACUACCGAGACUGUUCAGUUUAAGGUUAAAUCAUUAAACCUUAACCUGGACCACAAUGUUCUUCAUUAAACCCGUAUCCUUUUCUUAAAAUAAAAUGUUUUAAUGGAGACCAGUUUCGUGUUACAAACAAACCAGUCUCAUUUCCUGUUAAAUCUCAGGCAUUAAAAAGAUCUUGGGUGGCACACAUCCAUCUUGAGCAGAGCAGCAGAAUGUCGACAGUAGUAUGGGAUGGCUUGGCUUGGCUUGGCGGGGAUUUGAUUGUUCAGACCACAACGAAGAUGCCAAGUUGGUCAGGUCCAUCACUACGUAGAGCAGAUUUAAAUCCCUGAUGAGUCACAUAUUGAUUUAGAAUUUGAUUCUCUAAGGUUGUUUAUCGGUUGCAUGUCUACGGGGCACGUACAUUGUGAUUCGCUCAACUGCUGAAGGAGUUGGAAGAUAUCGGAAUCAUUUGAACUUGCAGCUUUGGGCAUCGGCAGAUUAGACAGGGGAAAGAGGUCUCAAACCCUCCUGCCCGUUUAGAAUGCCAGUUGAUCGCCUUUCAAAGGGCUAAAUCAGUCCAUUUGGCAGACUUCAUUAGUAUUUAUUGUUGUUGACGCUGGAUUUUUAAUGUUUAAUUAAUGGAAAUUACCAAAAAGAAAUUAACUCAGCCA